UACGUAGGGUGCAAGCGUGUCCGGAAUUAUUGGGCGUAAAGAGCUCGUAGGCGGUCUGUCACGUCGGCUGUGAAAACUCGGGGCUCAACUCCGAGCCUGCAGUCGAUACGGGCAGACUAGAGUUCGGUAGGGGAGACUGGAAUUCCUGGUGUAGCGGUGAAAUGCGCAGAUAUCAGGAGGAACACCGGUGGCGAAGGCGGGUCUCUGGGCCGAUACUGACGCUGAGGAGCGAAAGCGUGGGGAGCAAACAGG
rnacentral:rRNA from 1 species